rnacentral:misc_RNA from 1 species
GUUUAAAAGUGGUACUUCACUGCCAUGAACAUAGAAUGAUGAGGCAUUAAACCACAAUUUUCAGCAAUCCAAAUUACAGAUUACCACCAUGAGCUUGAGAAACAAGUCAUUCAUUUGAAUAUCUAAAUAAAAGCAUCUAUGCUUAACACUUGGUAAAAAUAGGAGCAAAUACUAUCCAGAAAACUAUUUUCCAUUGAGUAGCAUGAUUAAAUCAAACAAAAUUGGAUAUAGCAAACAGUUCAUGACACAAGAAAACUACAUAUUGCGAUCAGCCAAAGCUACUCCAGCUCACGUCUCAGCCUAUGCCACAAGUGUGCUAGCAGUGGUAGAUUCGUAUUUCCAGACAGGUGGGAGCUUUUUUGUUUUCUUGUAAUAACGAGCAAGGCGAUGAAUCCUGCUCUCCACCAAAAUCAAACGGAACUUAGAAUCCUUAUCCUUCCUGUUCCUCUCCAAAUGCUUCCUAAUGGCAACAGCCUUCUUAAUCAGGUGGUACAAAUCCUCUGGAAUCUCAGGUGCAAGCCCAUGUGCCUUGAGGAUACGCAAGAUCUUGCUACCAGUAACACUCUUCACUUGUGCAAUUCCAUGAGAAUCACGAAGAAUCACACCAAUCUGUGAAGGGGUCAAUCCUUUCUUAGCGAACUUGCAGAUGUUGUCCUCAACAUCUGGAGCAGAGAUCUUGAGCCAACUAGGAGGAGUUCUCUUGUAAGGGAGAGCAGAAGCUGAAAUACCCUUACCACGACUGUGCAUACGACCCAUGAUGGCGGAGGCUACUGGUGGUCUGCAAUGGAGGCUUACCUUUGGUUGUGCGGAAGGGCUUG